rnacentral:misc_RNA from 1 species
AGAACACAUGUAGUUUUAGCAUUUGGAGUCAGUUGCCGAAAAAUCUUGCACAUCGUUAUUGAGCAUCAUUACUUAGAUUUAUUCCCUGUGAAAUAUAUUUCAGACUCAACUCUUUGUUUUACAUGAUAACUCUGAUCACAUUGACCUUCUCCGCCAUUGUGGCAAGCACAGUCCCGGAUCCUACGGUGUAUGGUGUUUCUGCUUUACAAAUUGCGCGCGCAGUUUGCGAGGUUUGGUCCCUUGGAAUGGCUGCCCUCACACUAGUCUCUGAAUUAAACCAACUACACAUCGAUUGGAGUACUGGCAGGAUGCCUUUAACUGGAUAGACCUGUCUUCUUCUAUCCUGAUACUUCUACUGCCGCCAUUACGGUUCACUCACAGGAAUGAGCAGUGGUUCGUGUUCUCAGCAGCAUUCUUACUGUGGACGAUUCGGGUAUUCAAAUACGCUGCGGUGUUCAGACAAACAGGAGCGUAUGCCCAGAUUCUAUGGCGGAUCCUCAUACACGACAUUGUACAGUUUACGACGUUCUUUGUGUUCAUUCUUCUGGCCUUCAGUGGUUGUCUUCUACUGUCUCUACGGGGAGAAGGGUCGUUAGAGAAGUUCUCCGAAAGCAGUUCGUUUUGGUCAAUUCUUUUUGUUGGAGUGAGGAUUCUGAUAGAGGCAGAAAGAAUUAUAGAAUAUACUGAGCUUCAAACGAUGAGUUUGAUUAUCAUGGUGGCCUUUCUGUUCACAAUAUGCGUUCUGUUAUUAAACAUAUUGAUUGCUCAACUCAGCGACACCUAUCAAAAUGUGCAGCAAGAUGCGCAACGGGGGUUAGAGGUCAAUCGAGCUUGGAUAGUAUCCAGGGUGGAACUCAACAGUCUUUAUAUCGGAAAGGGACACAGAAUCACUCAUUACAAAGAAAGUGAAAAUAUAUAUGAUGUCAGGGACGUUCUAGAAAAAUGGGAAUGUCCACCAUUAAACGAAAUGAACAAGUGUAUUCAAGAUAUAUGGGAGAGUCUUGAUUCUCAUAAGAUGAACUUGCUCACCGUCCGGAACAGACUGGCCCGUCAGGAGUCCACUCUUUCCAAAAUACAAGAAACAUUGGACAAGUUAGUGGAACUACAAGAGGAAAAGACAAAUGAUGCCAAAAGUGACUGAAAAUUUGAAAUUCUUUAAAAGCCGCUUUAAAUAUGAUAAUGAUGAUGAAUCAUCGCAUUAAACUGAAACAUAUGAACAUAUGUUCAUUCAAUAUUUAUAUUUUGAAUGAUAUCUAUAUGAAUUGUUGUUCACGCAUUUGUACAUGAUGAAUGUUUGCAAUUCAAAUUUCAAAGUGUAUUUAAUUUUAAAGUUCUUUUAAAUUACAUAAAUUUGCAAAUC